GUCGCGGCGAACGCCCCUUCUCGUCGGUGGCCGGCGGAACUAAUUAUCACUCACCUGUGUGCACUCGAGCAGAACAAAGAUGCGCACGUCUCCAAUCCAAGUGGUAUAGUUUGAACCGGCAAAACGCUAAUUCAGCGUAAGAAAGAAAAUCGCUAUUCUCAUCGAGCAUCCCUGAAGCUGUGCAGGAUCGGGUAUCAAUUCAAAGACUGAACAGACAGCCGGUAAGAUUGCCACAUUAAUCAGACUUUGCUGCGAGUGACACUUGUUGAUUGUUGCAAGCGGGAAGAAACUAUGUUUGCGAGCUGUAGUAUCUGAUUGUUGUAAAUAUUCACGUGGUAGUUUAUGGAAUGUAUUGCGCAGAUAUUGGUUGGUUAAUUUUAUUGUAGUUGUAUGUAAUUGUAAGCUUAAUGCAGUGAUUUAAUUCUGAUAUGCGUUCUGAUACGUGGGAUGUUGUUGUACUGGAUUGGUGGCUUGUAAAGACAUGGUUUAAAAGUGUGCAUAGUCAUAUUUGCAUAUAACAUCUGUCUAACAUGGAAACUAAAAAUAUUUAAUUGCCAAAAUGGUAAAUUGUAGUUCAUGGGAGUGAAUAUGUAUUGUAAAUAUUUAUAUGGGUGAAAAAUGUGCUAAACUCACUGCUUGACUAUUCAAAUGUUUAGUGAGUUCAUUGUGUUUGGUUACUCUUUUAAUUCAUUGUGCCUCCUGUAGUUUAGAUUGUGAUUUAAUAUCCGUGAUGAAUUCAAACUGAAAUCAUGUGGAAAUCUGUGAUUUAUAUGUACAUAUGUGUCUAGAGUCAAGUUUGAUAAUGAAUCAUUUUGAGUCCUGUGUGUCUGUUUUACAGAAAAUGUGCAAAUUGGUAAAUUGUUGAUGUUUUCUGGUUUAAGGUUUUUCACCUGUAAAUAUCUGGGCUGCAAAAAUUGAAGACAAAUAAAAAAGGAUAAAGAUGGAACAGAGGCCUGGUUAUUGAGUGAAACCCAGUUUAAAAGUUCAGCAUUGGUACCGCCCUAUCAAGUGAGGGUUAAGCACAACCAAGAAGAGAAAACACUUGACAGUG